UCGACACUUCCCCCCCGCGCCCCCCCGGCCCCGGGGUUUCGCCCAUUGAUCAGCCCCAAAACCUCUUCCGGUUCAUGGAGGAUCACUCCGUUCACAGCUCGCCCUCCUCUGCCACCGUCACUGCCGACGUGGGGUCCCACGACGUUCCCAGGAAGACACCCGCACAAGGUCAACAUUUGUGCUUGCUACGAGCCACGGAAGUGAGGAAGAACUACAGCUUCUGCAUUCCAUUAUCUUGUUGGUCGUGGACGCUCCUCCGCAUCAGGAUGAUUUCUACCUGAACCUGGUCAACUGGUCCUCGCAGAAUGACUUAGCCGUCGGAUUGGGGACUUGUGUGUAUACCCAACCAAAAGCAAGGUCUUACACAUCAUCGAUUUAGCUCGAUAUAGUAGCGAAGAAGAAUACUUCUCUGAUGGUUCCAAAAAUGGAGAUGGUGUAUGCGCAAUCCAAUGGAGUAGGGAAGGCUCCCAUCUUGCAAUUGGAGCAGCUCUUGGAGAUGUCUGGUUUGUGGAUUGAAAUGGGCCUAUCAUGGCCAUGAGCUGGGUUAUGGUGGCAAUAACAAUCAGUCCAGCGUUUAACUCAAUCAUCUCUGCACUGAAAUGGUCCCGUGGCAUACAGUUCAUUAGGACUGCUAGAUCAUACAUAAUGGUCCUUUGGUUUCCUUGUGAAACAGCUCUUAAUUUGGGACCAGUGCUCUCAAAGGCCACUCUUGAAACUGAUAGAGCACACAGCUUCAGUUAAAACCAUUACUCAAGUACCCCGUCGGCACAGCCUUGUUGCAUCAGGAGGCGGAACAACUUACUGGUGCAUCCACUUCUGGAACACUUGUGAUGCGGAACAUGCUCAACUGUCUGGACACCAGGAGUCGACUAAUAUUAUAAGCCUAAUUUUUGUGGUGAAAACUUUUGAUGUCAUUAUUCCAGGCUUAUAUGGUUCAUUUUCUGCAGGUCUGCAAUCUAGCAUGGAUGAUCUGCAGGUUUGGAAGUACCCAUAUAUCAGCAAGGUAGACGGCUUGGUAGCAAUUGACUCUCACACUCGAUGAUAAAUUUGCCUCAUUCUAGAAAGCCAGUUGCAAGAGCAAUCAGUUUUAGACAACAUAUAAUCUUACUUACUUGAGGAAUAAGCCCUCCUGCAAAUAUUUUUUAAGAUUUUAUAUUGACAGCCUCUAGAAAUGCUUCUAGUGAGUCAAAAUCAUAUUAUUAGCAGAGUAAAAUUGCAACACAAUGAAACCAAAUUCUUUAAGACUCAAAAUAAAUUAGUAUUCUGUGUGUACUUUGAAGUUGAAUGUUUCACAUCGGUCGGGUUGAAAUUUUCUUCCUCCCAGGAUACUGUCAGAUUCGUUUGUCUUUUAAUAUUUAUAUAAGUUACAUCUUUCUUGAGUUUUGAAAAGCCUGUUACCUUCCCCUUCAUUUGUGGGCAUCCUUUGAGUAGUUUCUAUGGUUCUUAUUCACAAUUGAGUAGUUUUAUAUCAAUAUUCAGCUUAACUAAGAGAAAUCUCAUUACAUCACUUUCACUCCGUCAAUUCUUAUCCAUUUGGACUUAGUAAAUUAUGAGAUUAUUUCUUCUUUUUUUUGUGGUUGGAUCAUCAUAAAGUUUGGCCUUGGACAAAGAAACUGUAGAAGAAGACUCUUAGGGGAUUCAGGUUUCAGCUCUUGGUUUACUCCCCUUCAAUUGUGAGCGUCUUUGAGUAAUUUCAAUAGUCCUUGUUUAUAAAUUUAAUGGUUUUUCAUCCAUGUUCUACCUAAUUAAAAACAUCACUCUCACUCUAUUCUUUUUUAUCGGUUUAAUCUUAGCAAUCUAUGAGAUUAUUUGUGCAUAAUUUUUGUUGCAUGAAUCUUCAGAAAGUUUGGUCUUGGACAAAGGAACUUCAGAAGAAGACUCAUAGGAGCCUUGGACUUCUUUUCUUAGUUUAAUUCUAUAAAUACAUUGUGUUAAUUAGUGAAUGGAAUGUACAUUUUUUUGUGCCUCACGUAUCUUUUCUUGUUUAAGUGAAUUUUUUUGUCAUCUAGUAUUGCAGUUUAGCUUUUGAUUAUCAUUCAUAUUUAGCUUCAAAUCUUAUGAUAUUUCUGCUCUCUUGAUUAAAACAUCACAAAACAGGUAGCAACUCAGGUGAUAACACUUCAUGAAUUAUGCCCUGCCUUGUCACCUGAUGAACAGGUAAAGGUUGUUUGAGCACAUUUUUUUCCUUUAUGCCAACUCGUAUGCAACUCCAGAAGGUAGUAUGAUGAUGGGAAAUAAACUGGUAGAUUGAGAUUGAGGUGCAAAUUAUUGCCAUGUUGCCCGAUGGAAAGUUAAGCACUAGUUGUGGACAAUGAUAUCCCUACUGAUUGUUCAGAAUGAAUGGAGCUAAAAAUAAUUGGUGGAUUGACUGUCAAAUCAUUUUGCUGUGCCUUAACUGCAGACUAUUGUGACUGGAGCAGGCGAUGAGAAUGAGGUUGUGGAAUGUUUUCUCCUCAGUGAAAACAACUGACAAUGGCAUUUCAUCAUUUGGUGGAGUUCUACUUUGCUCUAAACCACAUAUUAUCGACCAUUCAACUGUGUUCUUUAAGAAGUUAUUGAUGGGAUUUUACCAUAGGCUCCUGCACGUGAAACCCGAGUUUGGUCCCCGGGAAGAACACAUAUGCUGACUAAAUAGCAAGUAUGGCCCUAACUCUUUACAUAUGUUUUGUACAUUAUCUAACAACAAAAGAAAAUUUCUGAUCUUAGUUAUUAGAUCUUGCAUCAUGUUUCGUGAGUUUUCACACAUCUAAUCAGCAAGAACUUCACUCUGACAUUGUUUGUAGCAAUCUUCAUCUGGAAAAUCUAGCAUUAGCUUAUAUUUGCUGGAAUUUGUGAACAAAACUAGUUUUAAUUCACUUAUAUGCUUCAUGUUGUAGCAAUUUUUACCUGCCUGAAAAUUCUUAUCUGCAUCUUGUUAUUGGCCAAUGAGAAACACAAACGUGAUCAAUCCUUUCACUUUUUGACAGCAUUCUAAGAAUCUUUCUUUAUCUUUAGUACAGUGAUAUUUGGAUUGCUGCUGCACAUCAAUGUUUCAAUCUUGAAUUGAUCAGUUCUGCAACUACACAUGUCCAAACAAUUCCAAUUAUGAUUCUUUGAGGAUGAGUGUUCCUCUACACUGUCAAAUUAGAAUUGUUAUGCUUUAAAGUUCCUAAACUCAUCUUGAAAUAUCUUUUAAAAGAAAAGGGAGUCCAUCAGUGACAUUAAAAUCCAGCAUUUCAUGUUCUACUGGUUGGAAAUCUCGACCAAACUUCUAUGAUUGAAUAGGGGUUAGA